rnacentral:rRNA from 1 species
CAGCCGCCGCGGGAACACGUAGGGUGCAAGCGUUAAUCGGAAUUACUGGGCGUAAAGCGUGCGCAGGCGGUUAUAUAAGACAGAUGUGAAAUCCCCGGGCUCAACCUGGGAACUGCAUUUGUGACUGUAUAGCUAGAGUACGGCAGAGGGGGAUGGAAUUCCGCGUGUAGCAGUGAAAUGCGUAGAUAUGCGGAGGAACACCGAUGGCGAAGGCAAUCCCCUGGGCCUGUACUGACGCUCAUGCACGAAAGCGUGGGGAGCAAACAGGAUUAGAUACCCCUGUAGUCCCUGCCUCUUAUAC